GGCCUCUAAGAUCAACAAAAAUGAAAUGUCUCACUGACGACUCAGACGUAGGAUGCCUUCUCUGAAUUUUGAGUAGGUCUCACCUAAGAAUGUCUCUCUACGUUUGUACUAGCUGGGCGGAAGUUCGUUCUAGGAAACACCUUGGAACUGCCAUUUCUGACCUUUAUUCCUCUUCCGGAAACUUCGAGUUGGCGUCUACGUUGGGUUGGCCUGAGUGGGGGAGUAGACGCCUCUGGGCGGUUCAGGGUCAGCACUGUUAGGUGGUUGAGACUCAAACGUGUGCUAAAGGAGUGGGACUUGUGGCAUUUGCUCAAAAGCUAAGACUCCCAGGAAGAGGAAAAUAAAAAGCUACUAUGUGGCAUGGAAAGAUCUUAGUGUAUCCAUUGACUGAUUACUGAAAAUUAGGUAUCCAGUGAAAAAGCCUGAGGAAGGAAAAAUAGACGUUUAGUGCACCGAAGUUCAAUCUCUACACCCAGUGUGAGGCUUGAACUUGGGUCCUGGAGAUCAAGAGUCACAAGCUCUACUGACUGAGCCAGCUAGGCCUCUUGGUUCUAUUUCUGUUCCCUCCUGUCUCAGAUUUUAUUUUUAAGUAAUCUCUAUACCCAAGGUAGGGCUCAAACUUAACAACCCCGAGAUGAAGAGUCACAUGCUCUACCAACAGUGCCGGCAUGUUCUUCUUGAAGAAGAAAAUUCACUGUGUUUUCAGGAGUUGGAAGGAUCAUCAAUUUUAACAUUAAUCUCUACUAUGGGAUACUGAAGAAAAUGACGAACAAGAGACUGGUUUACGAAAAUAAAUGACCCUGGCUCAUAUCCUGAAAACGGUUUGAUUUCUUUAAAUAACCUGAUAGAAACUUGCUUUGUAAGCACCUACAACUCAGGACAAGACAAAGGAAGAUUCUAGUUAGUAAAGAAUUCCCUAGUGAACUGAGGAUUUAGUAGAGUUACAUCACUUCUAAAGAUUUUUAGUUUUAAAAACCCACAGAAAUAGAAG